rnacentral:rRNA from 1 species
UACGUAGGGUGCGAGCGUUAAUCGGAAUUACUGGGCGUAAAGCGUGCGCAGGCGGUUCGCUGUGUCCUGUGUGAAAGCCCCGGGCUUAACCUGGGAAUGGCAUGGGAAACUGGCGGGCUGGAGUGUGGCAGAGGGGGGUGGAAUUCCGCGUGUAGCAGUGAAAUGCGUAGAGAUCGGAAAGAACACCAACGGCGAAAGCACUCUGCUGGGCCGACACUGACACUGAGAGACGAAAGCUAGGGGAGCGAAUGGG